UAGCUCAGUUGGUAGAGCAUGAGACUCUUAAUCUCAGGGUCGUGGGUUCGGGCCCCAC
rnacentral:tRNA from 1 species